rnacentral:misc_RNA from 1 species
UCCUAGUUAACCUAGGCAGUCUCACUAGAGUCCCCACCUUGCGUGUUGGCAACUAAUGAUAAGGGUUGCGCUCGUUGCGGGACUUAACCCAACACCUCACGGCACGAGCUGACGACAGCCAUGCAGCACCUACACAGAAGCCCUUGCGGGAGAUCCCAUCUCUGGGACUGUCCUCUGUAUUUCAAACCUGGGUAAGGUUCUUCGCGUUGCAUCGAAUUAAACCACAUGCUCCACUGCUUGUGCGGGCCCCCGUCAAUUCUUUUGAGUUUCACCCUUGCGAGCGUACUCCCCAGGCGGUAUACUUAACGCGUUAGCUCCGACACAGCCGGGGUUGAGCCCAGCUACACCAAGUAUACAUCGUUUACGGCAAGGACUAC